UUCUUAUCCAGAGUGGCGAAGGGACUGGCCCUAUGAUGCCCAGCAACCUGAAUGAUUUUUCAUCAUUCAACGGUGCUAAUUCCAGCAGGUAUAAAACCUGAAAGAUGAGAA
rfam:Clostridium kluyveri DSM 555, complete genome.